rnacentral:tRNA from 1 species
UGGCUCAGUUGGUAGAGCAUGGUGUUUGCAAUGCUAUUGUUGUGGGUUUGAUUCCCAC